UAACACCUGGUUGAUUUCUUGCAAGGACGACUUGGUAGUCUUUUGGUUGGCUGGUUAAUUUUAAACUGCAGAGUCCCAAACUUUCAAUAGACACUGACUUGAAUCCUGGGGGGUUGGAGGGUCUGGGGAAGAAAGAGGCUGCUCAGGUAAGAAUGAACGAUUCCUUUCCACUUCACAGAAAAUCCCCUUAAUGCAAACCUCCCAGAUUGGGGGAAGAGAUGACUGCGGCGGAGUUGCAGUGUGUGGGGAAUGAGCGAAUCCUAAUCUCCAAGACCCCCACCCCACACCCGCUAGAGAUGACCCACUGAGGGAGCAGCCUUGGGGUGUGGUUGCCAAGCCCUGGGCUCAAAAUCCACCCCUCUCUCAACCCCCUUCACAGAGUGGUGUUCAAUCCUUCCUGGACACUUCCAAGCUCCAGUGCAGGGCCAGAAUUGGUACGUCCUUCCAUCCACCCGUCUCCUGGCUAGCCCAGGCCUGGAGGAGGCCGUUGGACCUGCAUCCUUCUCAGCUCUUUCUUCCGUGCUCCAGAAAGAUUUUAUUUUCCUUCUUCCAAGCUUCCUCUGGCUACAUCUAGAAAUAUCGAGCUCAGAAAAUGACCUGGACUUGCCCUAGAGGGUGCGGUCAACCAGUGGGGGGCAGGAAUCGGGCGUCGAAGCGAGACCUUCCUUCUGCAAAUCCGCCGCCCACCCUGCCCGCCUGUGUGACUGAGAGGGCGCAUGCCGCGAUCCCCCAGAGGGAGCGUUGGAUCGACCACCAGGCUGCGGCGCGACCCCAUCUAGGCUGCGCGGGGAAAUCGCCGCCGCCAUCAUCGCACCUCCUGAGACGUGGGCUCAGAGCGCGGAGGGAGCGCGGUCCGAAGGCGUCUCGCAGGGCCCAGCCGCGACGCUGAAAAGCAUGAAGGGUCGGAAUUAGGCGCUCAUGUAGCGAGCGUUACUAAUCCGAAAUUACAGCGCUAAUUCCCUGAUCCAGCCGCUCCCACACGCAGCGCCGGGAUUAGAGGUCGGCCCCGCCCCGCCCUCACACCCGCCGGGGCCCGCGCCCUCGCCUAAUCCGCUGCGCCGGCACAACUGGCCAGCUGGGUGUGACGGCCCGGAGGAGACCUGGCGGCGGGAGCAGGCUGACCUAGCGGGAUUUACGCGCCCUCCGGGGCCCAGUCGAGGCCACACGGUCUAGAAAACCGCAGAGAUUUCUCCCUCCGGGCUGUGCGUCCCCACCCGCGGGGCCAUUCCAAUAGCCUUCUUUCCCCCCUUGACAUCUCUAGCUCGAGGCCUGUAUGACCCGGUGUCUGUGCCCCCAUGCCGCCUGGACUCUGCCCCCUUCUUCCGCCAGCCUCGAUAGAAUGGCCAAUCAGCUCAGGCCUAGGGUGGGAUGCGCGUCACCAUGGCGACGACCAAGGACCGGGCAGUGACGCCCAUCUCUGAAGGGCGCUUCCCUCCUGGGCGCAGCUCCCGCCGUGCUUGGCGUCCUCGUCGCGGGACACUAGCUCAUCGUGGACACCGGCUAGGACAGCGCAUGGGGCCGCCUACAGCUGGAGGAGAGAGCCCACCUUUCAUGUGCUCCUGGCUCCGUUUCUGAGAUCCUCACCCUUUCUGGGAGGAACCACAGAGCCCGCGGCUUCCUGGGCACGAGAACCAACGGACUCCCUCACUGAGUUGAGCCGCCUUUUGUUUUCCUGGGAGCUUGCGGUCCCUCUGCUGCUGCUCAGAAAGAAGAAGACUUUAGGAGGCCCAUGAAAGACCGGUGUCCACUUGCUGCACGAGCCGGGGCUGGAGAAUCUUCUCCUCAUCACAGCCACGUACCUGAGGCCUGGAUGUUCAAGUGACUUUUCCCACAAGUUCAGCUCUGGACUCAAAGGAAAACCUGUCUCCCAAUUGCUGCAUUUGCUGCUCUCUGGACGCCUGGGAUGGCUUUUUACUUCAGUUCCUGUGAAGCCGCCAACUGCCCUGUGAAGUGUGAUGGAACAGCUUCUUCUGAAAACAGAAAACACGAGAGGCCAGGCGGACCUCGCCACGGUCGCAGGACUGGAAUGCUGGGCCAAGCUGCCCCGGACCUUGGGGAUCCUCACAGCGAAGGAGCUGCCUGUGCUCCCCACAGAAGUCACAGGAGCUGCUGUCCUGUGGCCACAGUCUCCAGAGUGCAACAUGGAGGAGGACCUGAACAGAGGGCAGCUCCCAUUCCUGCCCCUCUGGACUUGGCAGGGCAUCUGGGGACACUUGCCCCUCCCCACCAUGCAGAGGCUGUGGCCUUGGCCUGCUGCCUGAGCAGUCUGGGCCUCUGCAUCUCUGGCCCCAAUGAAUGACACCAGGUGUGGUGCUGGGACUCAGGGGCUAUGGACGCUCUGGCCAGACUGCCAGCAAAUGGCAGCUCUGCCCACCACAUUGGCAGCACCGAUGCCCCACCACAGGCAGCACCCUGGAGUCUGCUAAGGCAAGGGUUCCAGCCUUCUAGGAGUUAAGGAUGCCCUUCCCCAUCCAUCCUCCCCUUGGUGCUCCUCUUCCUCCCUCCUCCCACUGCUCACAGCAGGCAGGGCCCGGACCCCAGAGCCACUCUGCUGCGCUGUUGCCAGGGGAGCUGAGAGACAGAUCUGAGCUAUGCAGGGAAAAGGCCGGCCUGUCAGAGUGUCUGAGAUGAACCACCGCCGUCCCAGUACAGCUGGGCUCAGACGCGUCUGGGCUCUUGUUCUGUGCCUGAGAAGGGCGAAGCCCAGUGAGGUUCAAGGGCAAACUUGCUAUUCAUUAGUCAGGGGUCCUUGAAGUCCAAUCUCCCCGGAGGAUGGGUCCCCUCUCCUUUUCUCUCCCUCCUGUGACACAUUCCUGGUUGUCUCCUCCUCCUUCUGCCCAAGCCCCUCUCCCCAGGCCCCUGAAUAAACUUCCCCCAAGGAGACCAAGAAGGGCAGAGACAAUGGCAGUGGGAAACCAGGCAGGGGCCCAGCCUGUUCUCUACUCCCAGCACCCCUGAGCGCCCCUCUCCGCUUGGACUUCCAUACACCAGCGCCACCAGCCCGCUGGGCACUGCCUGGACUCCAGGCCAGUCUGAUGUCAUCCUUGGUCAGCUCUAGGGCCACGCCUCUGUGGCCUGUAUUUGACCAUCCCAGGUCUGUUUCAGGACACUCUGACCCUGCUAGUUGAAGAGAGCACAUUGUGCAAUGUUUUCAAAAACACCUCAUUGUCAAAAUGCAAAGAGACCACUAGGAUAUCCCUCCACAGUGGUAUUUGUAACGCUUCCCAAAGAAGCAUGCAUAAGGAUAUUCAUUGACUAGAGCUGUUUUUCCACCAUGUUGGAAUUGGACUGCUGGCCCAUUCAUCCUGUGGAAUGCUGUGUACCUGGGAAAAGUGAUGUGGUCGCUCUGAGCCAGCCAGUAAGGAAGGUGGGCAGGUUACACAGAGAGAUGAGUCAAAUAAACAGGCAAAGUCUGA